rnacentral:rRNA from 1 species
GUGUCAGCAGCCGCGGUAAGACGUAGGGGGCGAGCGUUGUCCGGAUUUAUUGGGCGUAAAGAGCGCGUAGGCGGCCCGGAAAGUCGGAUGUGAAAACCCGGGGCUCAACCCCGGGCCUGCAUCCGAUACUCCCGGGCUGGAGGCAGGUAGGGGAGAUCGGAAUUCCUGGUGUAGCGGUGAAAUGCGCAGAUAUCAGGAGGAACACCGGUGGCGAAGGCGGAUCUCUGGGCCUGUCCUGACGCUGAGGCGCGAAAGCUAGGGGAGCGAACAGGAUUAGAUACCCUCGUAGUCC